CCUACGGGCGGCUGCAGUAAGGAAUAUUGGUCAAUGGACGAAAGUCUGAACCAGCCAUGCCGCGUGGAGGAUGAAGGUCCUCUGGAUUGUAAACUUCUUUUAUAUGGGACGAAAAAAGGCCUUUCUAGGCCGUCUGACGGUACCAUAUGAAUAAGCACCGGCUAACUCCGUGCCAGCAGCCGCGGUAAUACGGAGGGUGCAAGCGUUAUCGGGGUUCAAGGGGUUUAAGGGGUGCUUAGAUGGGUGGAUAUAAAUCUCCGAGCCUAACUUGGAAACUGCCAUUGAUACUAUUAAUCUUGAAUAUUGUGGAGGUUAGCGGAAUAUGUCAUGUAGCGGUGAAAUGCUUAGAUAUGACAUAGAACACCAAUUGCGAAGGCAGCUGGCUACACAUAUAUUGACACUGAGGCACGAAAGCGUGGGGAUCAAACAGGAUUAGAUACCCUUGUAGUC
rnacentral:rRNA from 1 species